rnacentral:misc_RNA from 1 species
GCCAUCCAGAGACGAUCGUGUCCGAUGGCACGCAGAGACAAGUUAUGGUCAUUCUGCGCCUUGUGUCAACUGAGAGGAACGAAUUCGACAGUACCAGGAUGAUGUUGGUCGUUCGGUGCUGAUCAUUUUCAAGAUUCUUUGCAGGUACUGCUGGCGGGGAGAUUGGUCGGCCGAAUGGUGUUCCGCUCGAACAAAAUUAGUGUUUUAUCUUUACUUUCCUUUUAUCUCCAAUAAAAGACAAGUAAAGAGGGGCAACUAUCAUACCCUGAUUUCGU